rnacentral:lncRNA from 1 species
GUCCACGUUAUUUGCUGAAGGAAUUGAUGGGUCCGGUGCAAAUUGCCCUUGAGCUUUCAUUCCACUUUAAAAAAUGAAAGAGUAGAUUAGGUGGGAAUAGAAGUGAUGGGAUGUUGCAGAGGUGAAGUUUCUUUCUUUUUUUUUUCUUUCUUUUCUUUAUUUCUUUAAGAAUGAUGAGUUGAUUAGAUGGAAUUAGGUGUAGAGUGUACGGUGGUAAUGUGUUGGGAGUAGAAACUUAUUGCAUUUAACCUUAGGUGCAUUUGCUUCAUGUUUUUUAGAUUGGAUAUCUGGUGCUUUCAUCAGGAAAUUUAUUUUCAUUUUCUUUUGAUUGCAACUCAUGGUCAUGUCAUUAAUCUUUUCAUUUUGAAGCUUGUUGACUUUAUUUUGGGAAGCACAUUUUAUUUUCCUUUUAGAAUAGGGUAUCUUCAUUUUGCUGAGAAGAAGAACUCAUGGAUUAUCACC